AUUGAACGCUGGCGGCAUGCCUUACACAUGCAAGUCGAACGGCAGCACGGGUGCUUGCACCUGGUGGCGAGUGGCGAACGGGUGAGUAAUACAUCGGAACGUACCUUAUCGUGGGGGAUAACGCAGCGAAAGUUGAGCUAAUACCGCCUACGCCCUGCGGGGGAGAGCGGGGGACCGUAAGGCCUCGCGCGAUUAGAGCGGCCGAUGUCUGAUUAUCUUGUUGGUGAGGUAAAAGCUCACCAAGGCGAUGAUCAGUGGCUGGUCUGAGAGGACGAUCAGCCACACUGGGACUGAGACACGGCCCAUACUCCUACGGGAGGAAGGAGUGGGGAAUUUUGGACAAUGGGUGCAACCCUGAUCCAGCAAUGCCGCGUGAGUGAAGAAGGCCUUCGGGUUGUAAAGCUCUUUUGUCAGGGAAGAAACAGCAGCUCUAACACAGUCUGCGAAUGACGGUACCUGAAGAAUAAGCACCGGCUAACUACGUGCCAGCCGCCGCCGUAA
rnacentral:rRNA from 1 species